ACGCCAUAGUUCAAAUGCCGAUAAUGCGAACAACGUCACUAGAAUUUGUGGUGCUGAAGAUUGUCCAGUAACAGCAAACGACACCAUGAUCGAACAACCUGAUAAAAACGUAGUGUAUAUUUUGUUGGGGAUCUUUUUGCUUUGUGAUAUAUUUGGACUUUGUUUGACAGUUUUUCUUUUACCAAACUUAAAACCUCGAAAAUCUAAUGAACAAACUCUGCCGAAAUCACUUGUUUCUUGCUGCACAACUUUAGCAGACAAAAAGAUGAUACUGCUCAUUCCUUUAUUUUUUUCCUAUGCCAUGAAUCAAGGAUUGCUAUUGACAGAAUAUACUAAGGCGUACAUCAGCUGCUCAUUAGGUGUUUCAAUGGUCGGUUUUAUAAUGGCGUGUUACGGCGGAAGUACGGCCAUCUUUGCCAUACUGAUUGGACAUCUAGCUCAAUAUACAGGACGAUAUUUUUUGUUUCUUCUGGCGAUGUGUGCAGAUAUGACAAUGCUGUUAGUCUUUUAUUUUUGGAAACCAAAUGAACAUCAACUAUAUCUAUUUUUUAUAAUUCCAAGCCUCGGAGCCCUUUCGGAGGCCAUUUAUCUGGCUCAGUUUAACUCUUUGAUAAGUAUUUUGUUUAAAGAAAAGAUCGAUUCAGCUUUUGCCAACUAUUGUACAUCAAGGGCGUUGGGUUAUACUGCUACUUUCAUCUGUGGAGUUUUCAUGUGUCUGAGAAUUAGACUAUUUAUCGCUGUGGCAUUGGUUGUAAUUGGUUUCUUUGGUUAUGUGGGAGCGGAAGUUCUUUAUUCCAAAACAAAACUUUUACAGAAUUAGACUAUUUAUCGCUUUGGCAUUGGUUGUAAUUGGUUUUCUUGGUUACGUGGGAUCUGA